UACGUAGGGUGCGAGCGUUGUCCGGAAUUACUGGGCGUAAAGAGCUUGUAGGUGGUUUGUCGCGUUGUUCGUGAAAUCUCACGGCUUAACUGUGAGCGUGCGGUCGAUACGGGCAGACUAGAGUACUGCAGGGGAGACUGGAAUUCCUGGUGUAGCGGUGGAAUGCGCAGAUAUCAGGAGGAACACCGGUGGCGAAGGCGGGUCUCUGGGCAGUAACUGACGCUGAGAAGCGAAAGCGUGGGGAGCGAACAGG
rnacentral:rRNA from 1 species